rnacentral:rRNA from 1 species
UGGGGAAUAUUGCACAAUGGGCGCAAGCCUGAUGCAGCCAUGCCGCGUGUGUGAAGAAGGCCUUCGGGUUGUAAAGCACUUUCAGCGGGGAGGAAGGCGGUGAGGUUAAUAACCUCAUCGAUUGACGUUACCCGCAGAAGAAGCACCGGCUAACUCCGUGCCAGCAGCCGCGGUAAUACGGAGGGUGCAAGCGUUAAUCGGAAUUGCUGGGCGUAAAGCGCACGCAGGCGGUCUGUCAAGUCGGAUGUGAAAUCCCCGGGCUCAACCUGGGAACUGCAUUCGAAACUGGCAGGCUAGAGUCUUGUAGAGGGGGGUAGAAUUCCAGGUGUAGCGGUGAAAUGCGUAGAGAUCUGGAGGAAUACCGGUGGCGAAGGCGGCCCCCUGGACAAAGACUGACGCUCAGGUGCGAAAGCGUGGGGAGCAAACAGG